UUAGGGAAUAGAGAAGAUGUCACAUGAAUUUACAGAAGACAUACAAUUUCAUCAGGAUAUUGUUGUCUUUUUAAUGAAAAGUAACCUGUUUACUGUCAACAUGAUGUAAGCCUGCUUUGUAAAGUAAAAACACAUCUGAAGGGAGUUUUUACCAAACAAAGUGCGACCAACAGGAGUUGAUGUUGCUGCAGUGAUGUCUGAAGUUGCUCUUGGCUACAAAUUAUUAAUGAGAGAGGUCUUAAACGUCAGUCAGCACAAUAGAGUCUCUCUCGUAUGUUUAAGGGUCAACGCUCAAUCACGAAGGAGGCAGGUUAAAGGUGCCAGAGGUGGGGUUCUAGUCAGUGCAGCUUUCUUUACUUUCUCCUCCUCGGAGGUGUGGUUAUAGGGACAGGAACAAAAGGGCCAGUUGUCUGUGGGUAACUUGCAGUCAGUCAGUGUUCAGGACCUCACACAGGUGAAUUGCCUGUUUGCACAGGAUAACUGCUGCUGCAGCCUUUACUACAUCGAGACUUUGCGAUCCCCUUCUCUGCCUGAGCUGUAGCAGACCCCAGGGGGCAGUAGUAACAUCAGCGUCAUGGCUUCAUCUACUGGUGUGCUGGACGGAGGCUGGGGAUGGGCUAUUGUUUGCGCCUCUUUCAUGGCCCAGCUCCUGGCCUAUGGAUCACCCCAGUCCGUGGGCGUCCUUUACCCGGAGUGGCUGAACGCCUUCCAGGAGGGCAAAGGCAUGACAGCCUGGGUGGGCUCCCUUGUGGCCGGAGUGGGGCUAAUAGCAAGUCCAAUCUGCAGUGCCUGUGUUGACAAUUUUGGGGCUCGUCCCGUGACCAUCUUCAGUGGCGUAAUGGUGUCAGGCGGCUUGAUGCUCAGUGCCUUUGCUCCGAAUGUACAGUUCCUCAUCUUUUCCUAUGGAAUCGUGGUCGGUCUGGGUUGCGGUCUGGUGUACGCAGCCACGCUGACCAUCACCUGUCAAUACUUCGACAAGAGACGUGGCCUUGCCCUUGGCAUUGUCACCACAGGCACAAGUGUAGGAGCGUUCAUCUAUGCCUCAGCUCAGAACGAGCUGAUCGUGCUGUACGGCCUGGAUGGCUGCUUGUUAAUCAUCGGAGCAGUAGCACUAAACCUCAUGGCCUGCGCGGGGUUCAUGAGGCCCCUCAUCAUGCCACGGUACUACCUCAAACAGAAGGCUGCCCUGGAACGCAACACAGAGGAGCAGCUUUUCGAGAAACCCCCGCUGGAUGACCUGAAGAUCACAGCAGGUUCAACCUCAACCACUCCAGAUAAAACUGUGAUGGUGAAGGAGAUGCUUAUCACCAUGGAUGCCAAAGACUCAGCAGUUCAGACAGAGAAGAAGAAAGGCAGCUUCCUGUCCGGGCUGGCCAUCAUUAAAGUCAUCAAGAAGAAGCAGCAGGCCUACUCCAAGUACAUGCACUCCAUGUAUGAGAUCAUGCAGGACCAAUCUAUGAUGUCCUUCUGCAUUGGCAUCUUCCUGUUCAGCCUGGGGGCUUUCCCUCCUGUGCUCUUUAUAGAGGAUGUGGCGAUGAGCCAAGGACUAAUGGAAGAAGAGGUUUGGCACUGUUCCUUAUCCCUCUCACUAAGAGUUAUCUGGGACUUCAGAUCCUCUCCGUCAUCCUGGGUUUCUUCUCUGGAAACUGGUCUCUCACCUCCUACAUAACCACAAAGAUCGUUGGCUUGGACAGACUGACACAAGCCCACGGCAUCCUCAUGUUCUUCGGGGGCUUUGGGAUCAUGUUGGGACCCCCUGUUGUAGGGUGGUUCUUUGACUGGACGCAGUCAUAUGACUUGGCGUUCUACUUCAGUGGGGGCUGUGUGGAGCUGGGAGCAGUUAUUCUCCUUAUUCUAAACCUGCCAUGCUGGAAAAGGAAGUCCUCCAAGUCCUCCAAGUCCUCUGAGAGUGACAGAACAGAUGUCCAGUACACCAGCAACUGUGACAUGGUUGCCUCUGUAGCCUGAGUUUAAACACCUUUCAUAAAGACUCAUAUUUCACACCUACUGCCCAGCAAUUGUCCGCUGAUACCCAAACCUUCUCUGGGAGGACUUUCUUUUCUUUGAAUUUGCAGGAGUUUCCUCCUUACCUUUGCUGCCAGGGUCUAAUAUACCAAAAUACUUGCCAGAGGUUUUGAAAUACAGGCCUUUCCUCUGUACGUUGCCUGCAUUUCUCAGGUUCAAACAAUACUGCAGAUCUUUUUAAAGGUUUGACUGUAAUGCCUGUGUUGACUUUAAUUAUUGCCUCAUUUUACGAGGUGAACUGAACAAUGUUGUUCAACUCCCAAAUUUUACAUUGUGUUUAUGUAAACACUGAUUUUGUCUUUGCUGUAGCUCUUAACAAUAGACAUAGGGUUGUUAAUAUUUCUUGGGAGAAAAACAUUGUUGGUUGUUAAUUCAACACAAUGAGAACAUUUGAAACCACUCUGACAAUGCACAAAGAAAUCUCCCAGGAAUCUCACUGGAACAGAAAAUAUACAGGGAUUGAUGAGAGAGGGAGUGCUUUUUGAUAAUCAUAAUUUUAGCAACACAUUUUUAUGGUUUGAAUAGACUUUAUAUCUUAAGUAGACCACUAUGUAACUUUGCAAAGCAUCAAUGAUAGUCAAUGCCUGUCAACACAUAAUGCCUGUUGGAACAAUUCAAAAGCCUUGCUUUAUAAAUAUUAUUUUGAGUUCCACAUACCUCGUGUUUCUAGGAAUGAGAGACUUUCCUAAAAAUUCAUGCCGUUUCAAAAACAUGUAAAGACAAUGAAGAGAUCCUACUGUGUUUCCAACCGUAACAGCAUGUUGCUCUUUGUGGCAUGAUCAUCAUGACAUCUGCUGUCAAUCAAUUAUGACCAGGCUGAUCCUUUCUCGUUUCCCAUUAUUGUUGUGUGUGCUAUAUGUUUACGUGUGCAUUGUGUGUGUACCUGUUUGCACACGCAUGGUUGCAUACGUGCACAGGUUUGUAUGUGUGUGCUAUGGAUUAUUUGAUAAACUUUUAUAUUAGCAAUAGUUUGUAAAGUCCUAUGUGCUAUUGACUUUUAUAUAUGCACAUAUAAAACCGCCCAACGAGAAAAAGCUUUUUUUUUUUUAAGUUGGAAGAUGAUUAUUGUGAUAAUAAUUGUAAUGAAGACAUUGCAAUAGGCUCUUAGAAUCACUUGAAUGUUGCUGAAUACACCACUACAAAUGUAUUUUUGAUAGUUCCAGUUUCAGGCACAAGGAUAAAUCUGGGACAAUAGCUUUUUGUGAUGUAGAGAGUAUUUACAAGGUGCAGAUGAGGUACAAUAAGUACUGAACUAGAAGGGUUCUAGCAAUUCUUAUUUUGUAUGCCAGUAUUACGAUAUUCAUGUAUAUUAUUGUUUUAUUAUUUCAUUUUAUUAAAAAAAUGUGCCAAUAAAAUAUUUGCAUUAAUAACUGUCAA